rnacentral:rRNA from 1 species
GACGAACGCUGGCGGCGUGCUUAACACAUGCAAGUCGAACGGUAAGGCCCCUCGGGGUACACGAGUGGCGAACGGGUGAGUAACACGUGGGUGAUCUGCCCUGCACUUCGGGAUAAGCCUGGGAAACUGGGUCUAAUACCGGAUAGGACUCCUGGCUUCAUGGUUGGGGGUGGAAAGCUUUUGCGGUGUGGGAUGGGCCCGCGGCCUAUCAGCUUGUUGGUGGGGUAAUGGCCUACCAAGGCGACGACGGGUAGCCGGCCUGAGAGGGUGACCGGUCACACUGGGACUGGGAUACGGCCCAGACGCCUACGGGAGGCAGCAGUGGGGAAUAUUGCACAAUGGGCGCAAGCCUGAUGCAGCGACGCCGCGUGAGGGAUGACGGCCUUCGGGUUGUAAACCUCUUUCAGCACCGACGAAGCGCAAGUGACGGUAGGUGCAGAAGAAGGACCGGCCAACUACGUGCCAGCAGCCGCCGUAA